rnacentral:sRNA from 1 species
CAUGUGCACUGUAUGCAGGUGUGAACGUGUAUGCAAGAUAUGUUCGUGCAUGCGUGUGUGCGUGCAUGAAUACACGUGUGCAUGUGUGUUCGAGUGUGAAUGUGUAUGUGCGUGUGCGUAUGUGUGUAUGUGGUGGGUUGUCACCAGCGGCUGUUCCUACUGAGGCUCAUGUAAGUGGCUUCCAAUUUUCAGCAGCAAUGGUUCUGCAAGAAAGAAUCGUGACUUUCUGCAUCCCGAGGUUCCCUUCCCCAGGCAGCCGUUUAGGGCUUGAGGCUGGCGCCAGUGGGAAGCACCAGGAGCCACUCAGUCCCUUAGGUACUGUGCGGAAUUUCUCAAUCUAAUUUUGUUUAGUUUGGGGGAACUUUUUUCCUUUAGAUUUUUGUUCCUGGGGAAAAAUUUUUUUCCCUGUGGUUUCUCUCCUACUCACCCUCGGUAAUCGUCCCUUUUGAGAAAGACUUUCGCCAUUUUCCCAUAAGACCAAAACGUGGCAGAUGUCCCUUGUGCCUGGAUCCCACUCUCACUGCCUGCUGUCCCUCAAAACCCUUUCUUCACGCAGGGCUUGUCCUUUUGUCCUCCAUGGAGAUCUUUCCUGCAGAAUCCGGCUGGAUGGCUACCUUGAUGAAUGGAAAGACAGGGUUGCAUGUGGCCUGAGUCCUGCCCACGAGGUCCUUUGCCUCACAGAGCUCGGUCUCCAUAGCAGUGUGUGUGGGAGAGCGUCCAGUUCCCUUUGAGGUAACCCUGCUUGUCCUGUUCCCUUUUCCCUGUGGGCACUUGUAAAGCUGCUCCUUAACUGUCACCUGAGUCAACUGUAUUGUGCGGUGCCAUGAUGUUAAUUCUGAGGCCACCAUACACACGGCCUUCCUUCUUCAGCCAGGGCUUCAUCAGGAGUCACGGGAGUCUUCCCGUGACUUCUGUUGUGAUGAUUUUUAUAAAGAGAUACUGUUCCCUAUUCUUUGGCUGUCAGACUACUGGGGACUCUAAGAAACUAGAAUUUCUCUGGGAAUCUCAAGCUGUCAGACAGAGAAGGCAGAAGCCUGGUGCUAGCCAGAGUCCCCCCAAGAAGGGAUUUCACACAGUUCUGACCACAUGUCGGACUGCCUCUGAGGAGACUGGAGCCCAGGCGGUAGUGGCUCAGUGAUGGGCAGGGCCACACACAGAUCUGCUUCUCUGUGUAUCCACUUGCUUUCUAUUUGAUCCUGAAUCUCACAUCAGGAUCCCAGAGAUGUAUCUGGAAGUCACUAGACACCUUUGUUCUUCCCACUGUGGCCACAAAGAAUAAAGCUCCUUUCUCUGUUUUCCUUACUAUUUCUUUACCUGGGAAGGAAUAGGCCUGGCUAACUUUUUUUGGCGGCCAGGACUCAGGCUUUGACAAUCCCCACCCCACUCCCAUCCCCAGCUACCCCAUAACAUUCUCCCUGAAGUUUCUCUCACACAGCCACCCACCUGCUGUUUGCCAGCCACCCUUCCCCUUCUUUCUUCGGCUGGGAGGAGUCAGAAGCGAGCAGCCCUUGAGUCAAGCUCCCUCAAGGGCUUCCACUCCUGAUUUGCUGUGAGCAUGGACAGGUCCCCUGCCAACCGGAACUUCUGCCGCAGCGGCUUUCUACACUCCACAGGUGGAGUCCUCUGUAUAAGGUGUCCACACUCGUCCCUUCACACAUUUCACUCUCAAAAGGGACAGGGGCAUUUCAGCAAUUCCCCUGUGGCUGGGGGUAGGGGCUUAGACAAGCCAAGGCCCCAACAAGUCCAGUAUGUGUGAUCCCUGCCAGGAUCCUGAGACCCCAGAGAGACAUGAGAAUAGGUGUGGGUAUCCCCCAGCUUCCUAGCCCACAAAGUACAAAACUUUACUAGAUACAGCCUCUGUGAGGAGUAAGAAGAGGUUGGUACCAUCAUGUGGCUGUAACCUGCACGCUGUAAGAAUCGGACACAACCGUCGGCAACUCGAUGGCCUGGGAGAUGGGUACAAAGUGAGGCAAAGCUGUCCCUGUCAUUGGCAAAGUUCCGUUGUUAUCCCAAGCCCUGGUCUUAAGCAUCGUGUCUUGCUCUGCCCUUCGAAGGUUAAGUUGAACCUGAGUUGUAAGAACAUGCCUGUUUCUAAUACCUAAAGAAACAUCUGGCCAGUUUAUUAAAAUUAGGCCAAUAAGGCCCCAAUACAACUCCAAGAAAGCUGAAAAUAGGGUUGGGGUGUCCACAAGUAAGACCUACAUCUGGUCCUGUAACUUCUGGGCCAUAGAGUCUGUGUCCUUUCUCUGGGAGGACUAACCAGAGACACUUAAGAGGACAGAGGACAAAGUACAACCAGGAUCAGGGAUCACUAUCCAGGCAAACGGCCAGCCAGCGUGCAGUGUCCAUGCAGCAUCGGCCAAGGUGGGUGACUGAAGUUCAGAAUGUGACCAGGAUUGAGGAUAGAUAUCCGGACAAACCUAGAGAGCCAGUGUGCGGCAUGCAACCAGGACCAAGGGUCAGUGUCCAGGCAAACAGAGACUAGCCAUGUGCAAUGUGUAAUCCAAACUGGGAGUCAGCAGAAUCAGAGCCAGAGCCAGAGUCACCCAUGCUUGGCUGAGAAACCAGAUACCAGCUCCGGGCAGGAACUCACCCUGGAGAAGCUGUUGCCUCAUUCUUCAGGCCCUUAGCUCCUGCCUGCCUACAAAAACCAAGCCAAACAGGAUUUGGGGUGGGGCCAGGCUGAUCAGUCAAACGUCACCAUCCAGGUGACAGCCUCUGGGCAGAACCCAAGGGGUCUGCAGGUUUUUUUUACUGCCCUCUGCAUCCUACUGGAAGAUGGGCAGAUUUCCCGGCGGCCACUGAGCAUAAGUCUUCAGUAGAGGCUUCACCUCAGACCAGCAGGUGUUCGAGAGGAAGUGGAGCAGUUCCAUGUCUUUCUGGGAAUCGAGGAAAGGUUUGGCUGCAACUGUACCCCAGUUGACAGGGUCACAGGGACAAUCUGAGGCAUAUCCCUGGGAUCUGUGGCCUUUGGCCCCAGGCAGCCCACCCACAGUCUGCAGGUAUGUAGGGGGAGGUGAGGGAGAAGAACAGGAAACCCCGUGAGAAACAGACACAGAAACACAUGGGCACUUUGCCAUGUCACUGGCUGGGUCACAUGGGUCACCUCUGACUGCCCUGCUCUGUGCAUUGUCAGCAUUGAACACAUGAUGUGACCACACCCACGGUCUCCACAAUGCAGCCAUUUGGAAGGAUGUGCUUGUGUUUCUUGUUGCCAUGACAAAAUCUUGGACAAAAGCAACUUGAAGCAAGAGUCUGGCCUUCACGGUGGGGACCGUAUGGGGGGGGGAGUUCAGGGUGGCAGAAGGCUGUGAUAGAACUGACCUGACCAUCAAACAUGAAAUGGGAAGGACACCAUAGCUCCUCAGGGAAGCAGGACCUUGUUAGGACCCUCUCUCCGGUGACUUCCUUCCUUCCUGUAGCUAAGCUCCAGCUCUUAAAGGUUCCAUGUUUUCCUCAAACAUUUUUACCCCACAAGCCUGUGACAGACAUUUUGCAUUUAAAGUCACAGUCGAGUAGAUCAACCUUAGGCAGAAACAAUUUCUCCUUCCCCAGCAACUACAGUACUGCAGAUCCAGGGGAACCGGAGAGGAGGAUGACAAGAGUCAGGGGUGAGGGGAGGCCAGAGCUGGCCUGUCUUCCCUAGAUGAGGAGUGUCUGUGGUAGCUGGAGAUCCUGGAGUGCCGUUGUUUUCAUAGGGACAGCCCCUCCUUCAACCCCGUGGUUGAGGAUGCAACAGUUGGCCGGCCCAUGUAUCACUUUGAUUUUUUUACUCCCACCCCUCACCCUGUCCCACACGAGCAGUUCAGUAGAUGCUCUGCUUCCAGGGUUUUAAAAAGGUAAAAACUGUUGGCUGGCGGGGAAGGGGGAGCCAGCCUAGAGGAGAUGCCCCCAGCAUCUGGUUUUACAAGUCUGGGAUCUCCUUUCAACCCUCUUAGUUCACUGCUCUCCAGAUGGACAGGGAGGCUCGGUAUGCAUGUGGGAGACCGGAGGUUGGGGCUGGCGUUGACGCAUUGCGGAACCUCCAUGAGUAAGAAUGAGUAACCAGCUCAGAGCUCCUCCUAACUGGGCAGAGGCACUGACCCAGUUCUGUAUCAGCUGAAGGUGGAGCUGGUGCCUGGUGCGGGCUGAGGAACCGCCCAGAUCUGCAUACAAUGGGCCACUGCGAGCCCAGAGACCCGGAAGUCCUCCCAGGGCUCACGCUCCUGCUUCCCAUCCUGCAUAGCUGUGUGUGGGAGGGACCUCAGCCACCCACUCAUGUCCCAUCUUUAGGCUUCCAAACACUGCUGUUGACAUCGGUCUCAAACAAGGAACAAAACCAAGAAGUAGCUCCCGAGGUUGCCCCGUCUCCUGAAGACAAAAGAGGGCCGGUCUUUCUUCACAAGCAUCCCUGGAGGAGAGACUGCUCAUGAAACCCACAAAGUGACGACCUCCAAAUCACAGUAUGAAGCCGCCAUGACAACCGCUUACCACAAAUCAACCCAGGAGGACCCAAGGCCGACUCAUCACCACCUGGAUGCUGCUAAGAUGUUAAAGCUGACCUUGAAUCUGGGAGCAGUGAAGGAUCCUACGAACGCCAUACUGUCCAGGGGUGGAUGAUUUCGUAGAAGCAGAGCAAGCGGUUCCCUGGAGUCUGGUAUGUUCAUGGACACUCAGUGAAGACACAGUUUAAAGAUAUGUGGACUUAGCCUCUGGGAGUUCAGGAUUAUAGUUGGCUUGACACUGUCCCCCAGACUCCUAAGCAGAUACCCGGAGCUGCACCCCAGAGUGGCCUUGACAGGUGCCACCAUGUUUGUACUGAUUGUAGGCAGAUCACCAGUGUGCUGGGCAUAGUCCACACAUCUGCCUCAUCUUCUGUCAACACAGGGAGCACUAUGAUUUUUCUAAUUAAGGGAUUCCAGCAGCCACCGUUACCAUGUGGGUGAUGAACAUCUGUGUGUAGAGGCCAGACAGGAGGAAGGACAAAGCCUCCUGACCCCGCAUCAUACUUUUGCUCAUCCUCAGUCCUCCCCCAGUAUCCCCAGAAGUAGCAUCCUUUCAACAGGAGGACAUCUUAUUAUAAAUAAAGGGAACGAAGCCUCAUGUGGGGCCCAUGCCUGUCACCAGCACUCAAAAGCCUGAGGCAGGAGGAUUGACAGUUUGAAGCCAGCUUGGGCAGCAUACCCAAGCUCUGUUAUAAACAAACAGACCAAAGUAAGAGGGAUGGGAUUGGAAGAGAGAGUCUUUCAUUCUGAGGUAGAGCCGGGCGGCUUCCUGAAAAGCCGAAGUUCCUUCUACUUCCUGGAUGUCUGGCUCAGAGACCUCAGGUCAUGCUGGUCAAAAACCAUGUUUCUCACACUGUAAGACCAAGUUUGGUUUUUCUGUCAAUAUUUUCCAUCUAUCUUCUUAUUCCUUUUCCUAAUCUUUAAAGAUUUGGAGUCUUGGGGGGUGGGGUGGGUGGCUAGGUGUUGUUUUGGAGAAAGGGGGUGUCUGAUGAUGGGUGGUAAGAAAGGACCCAGCUGGGGAGGAAGUCUCCUGGCAGCAGUGUAUGCUGGGAGCCACCGUCUUAAUUCACCUCGCAGUCAGUCAAAGGAACAGGGAAAGGGCAGCCAUGCCAGUGUCUGCGUGACAUAAAGUGAAUGGUGCUGGGCCCUAGGGUGCACCAGUCUGAGGAAGUCGAGCAGCUGACCCCCUUCUCAUUUGUGUUUCAAUACUCUGACUAUUCAGAAAUAAAUUGAGCGCUUUACAGUUUCCCCGAGGUGGUUAAGAUCCUGGCCGUACAGGGCAGAGAGACCACAAGCUUCAGGGCUUCCUGAGCCUCAGAGUGAGCUCAAGGUAACCCUGGGCAGCUUAGUGAGACCCUGUCUCACAACAAACCGUGAAAGAGAGCUGAGGAUGCGGCUCAGUGGGAGAGGGCUUGCCUUGCACGUGCGAGGCCCUGGUUUUGAUCCCGAGUGUGGCCAAUAAAAAUAAAGGCUCCCACCAGCUGAUUCCUGUUAGUCAGUUCUUCGUGUUGAAUAAUUUUAUUUUAUGUCCCAUGAUGGAAUCCCGAGGGCUCAACCUUCAUUCCUUACUUCUUCAUCUUUCCUAAAGAUCCUUUGACCAAAACAGGACUUCCUGUGGCUUGUUAGUUCCCAGCUCUGAAGUUUCCUGUGAACAGAUGACGGUUCUUUAAUGCUUUUAUUUCUUUCUCAGUUUGUAUCUACUUGGUAAACUGAGAUAGUCUAAAUUAUUUUUAGAGAUUGACUUUAAAUUCAUUUAUGUGUACGUAUGUGUGCAGAGGUUGUGUGCAUGUUCAAGUGCCCCUGAAGGCCAGAAGAGGGUGUCUGAUCUCUCUAGAGCGGGAGGGAGUUAGAAAUGUUGGUCUUGGGACCCCAAACACCAGUCUUCUGGAAGAGCAGCAAAUGCUUUUACCCUCUGAGUCAUCUCUUCAGCUCCAGUUUGAAAUUUUAUCAGGUAGUGUGUCCUUUAGAGUUAGGACAUAGAUGACUUUUCUAGAAAAAAAAAACCCAUAAAUAAAGCAGGGAGCAGAUAACCUACUAAGUCAACAGCUGUAGAUUACGGUAACAAGUCUCCUGGUAGUGAUCAUGAGUCAAGAGGCCCAGGUGAGCGAGUGGGUGUUUGUGAGCAGGCACUUUCAUACCUUCAACAAAAGAUGACUCAUGGUGCUAAGUAAACCACUGUGGAGCACAGCAAAAUUGAUGAAGCUUUUCAAUUCAACUUCUAAGCCUCUGUAAUGUUAUUACCAAGCUGAUGAACCUUAAGCCAUAAGGGCAACUGCACUCCUGUCUGAUGUGGGGGUCCAGAGAAAGGACUUCUUCAGAAAACAAAUCUAAUGCGGCAUUAGAAUACAGCUGUGCCCUGCUGGAUGCAACCCUCCGACCAUGCUGUUAGGGGAGCUUGUUACUGGGUGAGCAUCCUAGAGGGUGCAGGUUCAUCAACCCAGUCAGCCGAAAGACAAUGAAACUGCCGCCAGUGUCACAUCCCGUUCCGUUUUAUAACAAGCCUUGUUCUCUAUAAGCCAGGGCAUUGCUAAGACAGCGAUGAAAGUUGGGUGUGGUGGCAUACACCUGCAAGUCAGUCGCUAGGUAGGUCAGGAGGGCAAGGCCAGUCUGAGCUGCAUAGUGAUACCUUGUUUCAGGAAAAAGAAAAGAAGAUCAAGAAACUUAUAGUAAACACAUAAAUCAGAAACAUUGUUAUUUCCAUUGUUAAUAUUGUAUAUCAUUGGCACAUGAUACAUGUUUUAAUGACUAGCAACACAAUGGAUUUAUCUUUACCAUCCUAAUCAUGAAUACGGGGCUAAUUCAUUACAAUGAUAUCAUCAGCAGAAGGUAGAAAACUUCAGUUCCAGUAUAGCCAUAAAGAAAUAUCAUAUAUGUAGUCUUCCAUCGACUAAAUAUUUUAUCUUUCA